CCCUGGCCCCCCUCACCCCGCAUCCACCCGGCGGCGGCUCCCGCACCCCCAGCCCGGCCGCCUCGUGCCCCUUCGUGCCCUCCGGGUCGGGCCCCUAGUCUAGCCCAGACCCUCCACGGCCAGUUCCCCGGACGCCCCCACCCGGCCCCCUAGUUGGGAGGCGGUCCCCGGACCCUCUUUGUUAAUGGCCGCGGAGGAAUCGGCCCCGAGGGAUGGAUGGACCGCCGCGAGGGUGGGCCAAGGGCCUGUCACAGGACAUUAGCGGUGACCUGUAAGGAAGCCGGCAGGCUCUGGGGAGCCCAUUCUUCUUGGAUUAGGAACCGCUGAAUGGACAGAGUUGUGUGAAAGGAGGUUGGAAGGAAAGCCAGCGCAUCCCUGGAAGCCUCUGGCAAGGCCGCACGCACCUCGGCUGUCCCAGUGGGAGACAUCUGAGCCAGUUUUUAAUAGACCCGCGGCCGGGGAAGGAAAAACUAGUAGUCUUAUUCAUUUGCGAAAUUCAAAUGAAAUAUUACAUAUCCCUAGGCCCCCUUAUCUCUUGGACCAGUGUACCCAUGCGGGCCUUUGAAUCUGCACUCUUCAGCUUUAGAGGACAGGCCCCCAAUACUAGGUCAUACUGGCGAAUAAGACCACUAGGCACAUUUAUGUGCUGUUUAGAGGGUUUACUUAUUAUCUAAUUCUCAUAGCAACCCUGGGAGGGAGGUGAGACUGGCAAUUUUGACUCCAUCUUCCAGUCCAGAAAAUCGAGAGUUAGAUUAAGUGAAUUGAUAAAGACCCCAACCGGCGAGUGGCGGACUGUGUGAGAAUGUCUAGGCCACUGGCCAGUUUGUGGUCCACAGGGUGCUAUUUCAUGUGUGGACGAACCCAACUUUCAACACAGUUGCUUGGCUUCCACCUUUCUGCGUUUUUUUUCCCCACACCAAGUGGAGCUCCCUCAAAUCUUAUUCCUCCUCCUUCGUCCUCCACUAAUGUCAUUGCUCAAUGAAAGUUCGUUGCCUGAUUGAAACAAAAAAUCCCGCCACCACUUAGGAGCCCGGAACUGCUGCCUCCUUUCCCAGCAUGCUGCCCUUACUGCCAAGUUUCUCUGGAGUGUGUGGGACUAGGAAUUUCCUCUUAAGACUGGUGGAGCAACUGGAAUGAGUCAGCCUGCUCAGUGUGGCAGGCCAUGGGAGGUGACUUUUGUAAGAGAAUUAAGUAGGCAGUGCUGCUUUGCCUAUCUUGAAUGUUAAAUCAUCCUUAAAAAAAUAGACAUACUGCCGGAGUGUAAUCACCAGGUUCCCAUUUUCCUCCCAAUCAUCCACCCACUUACUGAUCAAUCAUAAUAUUUAUCGAAGUCUGAUAGUCAUACGGUUCUGCGUAGGCCUUGUGGAGGGUGUGAAGGUGGAAAAGACACAAAUUGUAUUUGUGAAGCUGCACAGAAGUAGGAUUCGUCGGGGGAUACCGGGGAACUGUCCAGAAGAGGGGGUGUGGUGUUGGCCUAGGCUUGUAUCCUGGUGGCCCGGGUAGAGCCAGUUGAGAUCUAGUUGAGAUGGAUAACUGUCGAGAGAAGGAAUGAAGAACACACAGGCAGGGGACCAUCUUGAGCAUGUUUAAGGGACGGCAAGUGGCUACCCAGCCUGUGAUAGAGUAGCAUUCAGGAAGUUGUGAGAAGGGCCAUUGAGAUUGAGGCCCAAACGGGGGCGGUCCUGAGUCCAGGUUGAAGAAAUUGGGCUUUAUUCUCCUUGCUUCCUCCCUGUCCCUCUUAUUUCCUCCUUUCUGGCCCCCCACUCCUCCAUCACAGCUAUGCACAGAGUACGUUCCUCUUUGGGGCUCAGUUUUCUCUACACAGCGGGGAGGGCCCCGUUUAGAUUUUUGAGAAUCCACCUAGCUGUAAACUAUUGAAAUAAUGAGCACUAUUUUGUUAGUGACCUUUUAAUUUACUAGUGUAAUCAAGCUAUUAUUCAAUGCCUCAUAUUUAUUGUGCAUUCAUCUCUUUUACAGCAACCCCAAGAGCUAAGUGCAGUUGACUCUUGAACAACACGGGUUUGAGUGUGAGUCCACUUAUAUGUAGGUUUUAUUUCAGUAAAUACAUACAGUACUGUAAAUGUAUUUACCUUAUGAUUUUCUUAAUAACAAUUUCUUUUUUCUAGCUUACUUUACUGUGUAAAUACAAGUAUGUAAUACAUAUAACUUAGAAAACACGUGGUAAUUGACCGUGUUGUCAGUAAGGCUUCCAGUCAACAGUAGGCUCUUAGUAGUUAAAUUUUGGGGGAGUCAGAAGUUCAGUGGAUUUUUGACUGUGUGGGGUCUGGUUCCUCUAACUUUGCACAGUUACCCAAUUAGUAGGUGGCAGAGCUAGGAUUUAAACCGCAGUUAACUCCUAGAACAUUUCCAACCGCUCAUCUGUUCAUUUUGUUAUCUUUCCCAUGCCUUGUCUGGUAUGUAGUAGGUGUUCAAUUAAUGCUUAUUCCAUUGACUUGGAACUCACAGCAUGCCCAAAACAGUAUUAGGAUUUGCCACACUGUGUGGCCACUAAUGUCUGUACCUCUGGAUAGACAGUAAAUAAGUUAUUUUGUAUCGAGGAGUGAGUAGUGAUGGGUCCCCUGACAACCUAAGUUUGAACCCCUUUCUCACUCGAUGUGAGGCUUGGUCAGGGGGCAGGGUUAGGUUCUUAGCAGAGACAUAUAUUAACAGCAUUAUUAUUCAUAAUUAGUAUUCACUAUUAUUAUUCAUAAUUAGUAUCAUGCUUAUAGUGUUAUUCAUACUUAGCGUUCACAUAUUAAUGCCAGGCAUUCUAUUAAGUGCUUCACAGCCACCCUCGGAGGCAGGUACCAUUUAUUAGUACCAUUUCACAGAUGGGCCAGCUGAUCCUGGAGCAGUUGUGUUACUCGUUCAUGGUCACAUACAGAUCCUAAGUGGCAGAGCUGAAGGGCCCAGUUGCCCUGGCAGAUCCAGGGUGGCCUAAAGAGAUUGUAGGAGUAAGCUUAGGCCUAGUGGGGACAGUUUAAUGAGGCUAGUUGCUAUUUGUAGAAGAGUGGGUUCUCUGGUCAUAUUUCUUUGUUGUCCCGUCUUUACUCUGGACCAGGAGUCAGGGCUUUGGGUUUAGGCAGCAUCUCCUCCAGUCACUCCGUGCACUUUGAAUAUGCCUCUGCCCGAGAAUUUCACAUAGAGGUUAAGAGCUCAGGUUCUGAAAUCAUAUAUUCUGGGAUUUUGAUGCUCAACUCCAACACUUUUCAGUCUGCUCAUCUGUAAAAUGGUGGUCAAUGGGAGCCACCAACUCGUGAGAUUAUUAUGAGGACGUAAUGAGAUGAAGUCUCAAGUACUUUGCAUAAUUACUCGUAUACAGUAAGUACCCUGUUGAAUGUUGUCACCACUACUCCUCCCCCCUCCCCCGCAAGGCUGUAAGCUCCUCGAAGGCAGAGAUUCCGUCCUAGUUGUUAUUCUAUCUCUGGUAUCUUGCCUAACACCCACAACAUAGUGGGCAUCCCACAUUUAUUGGGGGAACAGAAGCAUCCAUUGUAUAUUAAUUGUAAGAAAGGUCUUUGCACAUAAAGAUGAACAACUCAUAACAGCAUCAGUGUGGGGACAGUUUUCGUGUUCUUUUCAUAUACUGUUGGAGGUUGGUUGGUUUGCCUUCAUCCGUAAUUUCUGGUCUAGUCUCCUUCCUAGCCAUUUGUUAAGAGUCAGCCUCAGUGAGGGGUGACAGGGAUCAGAGGGGAAAUGGACCAGCUUGGUCUUCAUCAGGCUUUGCUCUGUUAAUUCUUUUAUUCUUUGAUUCACUCAGAAAAACACUGAUGAACGCCUGCCAUGUUGCAGGUACUGUGUUCACCUGGUCACACUCCUAUUCUGAGUGCAAUGCUUAGAAUAGGCAAGCAGUGUGAUUACAUAACCUAGUUUCAGAGGUGAAUUCUCUCCGGUGUCCUUUAUGACUCAGGUUAUAUUUGGUUGGGCAGGGAAAUUGUCUAAUAUUAUGGAGUACCUGAGAAACUUAGUCUAAUUUGUCUUAAAAUCAGACUGGCAGAAGCCAGAAGGGACUUUAGAAACCUGUUUGUUAAUAGACAAGGAGCUUGGAACUUGGAAAAUGAGUGUGAAUUAUUUGUGCUCACAGAGUUGGUUAUUGACGGGGCUGGAACCAGAGUCCACAUGUGUUGUAGUGUUUUUCCUUUGGCACUGGGCCAAGGAUGGUCUAGGAAUCUCCAGACUUCUGAGCUACUUAAGAAGAAAGAUUAAACAAUGAUGAAGAUGAUAGUUAGAAUUUAUUGAUCAUUCACUAUGUGUUAGGCACAGUUUCAGCACUUUACAUAUAUUAGCUCACUUAAUCCUCAAAAGACAAUUCUGAGAGUCAGGUACUAUUUUUGUUCCCAUCCUGCACCUAAGGAAACCAAGGCAUAGUUAGGUUAAGUAUCUUGCCCACAAUCACACAGCUAGGAAAUGUCCAAGCUAGGAUAUGAACAUAGGCAGUCUCGUUUUAGAGCCCACACUAUAUUAUUUUUUAACUUUUUAUCAUGGAAAUGUUGAAGUAUAAACAAAAGAGAUCAAUAUAGGGAAUCCCAAUUUCAAUAAUUAUCAACUUUUUCUGUUCUUGUUUCAACCCAUCACCACCCAUCCUGUUUUUUGGGUCUGGAGUCAGAGCAGUUUGACUCUGAAGCACUCUCCUCCACUACCCCGUUGGGUGCCAACCUGGUUUCUCGUGUUCUCCAGAUACUCUCAGUAUUGGAAAGUGGCCCAGGACUUCUGAAUGGCCAUAGCAUAGGCAGAGAGGCUGGCUUGUCCUUAGUUGGAAGAAGAUUCAGUAGGCACAAGUGGGUGCAGGGCUUCAGGAAAUGUUAUCAGUUCAGUUUUAGGCCCUCUGAAGGGCCCGUGUUGCCUGGCAGACCCAGUGGAUAGUGAACUAAGAACUAAUUUUAAAAUUCAUCUUGACUGACACAUUAGUUCACCCAAAAUAUUUUAAGAUUAAUUUAGGUAAGAGUUCUUUUCUUUCCUCUCCUUGCUGCUUUUCACAAAACACAGUAUAUCAACUAAGUUAAUAAUUCUUGAUUAUCUUCUAAUACCCAGACCAUAAUCAGAUUUUCCUGAUUCUCUCAAAAAUAUGUCUCUUUUACAGUUGGUUUAUUUGAAUCAGGAUCCAUUUAAGUCCACACAUUACAUUUGAUUGAUAAAUCACCUUAAUUUCCUCUAAUCUGUAAUAGUUCCUGUCUUUCCUUUAAAAUGCCAUUUAAUUGUUGAAGAUCCUGGUUAUUUGUCCUGUAGAAUUUUCCACAUAGUGGAUCUGGCUGAUCGCCUUCUCGUGCUGCUUCUCUCGUUUGUUUUCUGUGAAUUGGUAAUGAGAGAGACUUCAUAGAUUCAAAUUAAUCAUUUCUUUCUUUUCUUUCUGCAAGAAAGUGUUCUAAGAGACACCAGGAUAAAGCCUAGGUCAUUAGUCAUUAUACUGUUAGCCUCUCAGUACAUUAACCCAGAUCCCUGGGGUGGUUCCCAGGACAGACCUUGUUUUGGGUAGAAUUUAUUUAGAAUGAAUGUGUAAUGGCCAACAAGAUCAUAAUGUAUUCACAAAGCCAGAGAAUCUAAGGGAUCAUAUGGUCCCUUUUUGCAGGUGAGGACAGUGACUCGUUCAGGGCCAUCUGAACGAAUCCUUGUUUCUUGCCUCUCGGUCCAGUGUCUCUCAUGUGCCUCAGCUUUUUACCUAUGAAAACUUGUGAGACUCUUUCAAUUGCAGAAGCUAGAAACUCAGCUCAAAGUGGCUUAAAGAGAGAGGGAGGAAGGGAGGGAGAGAGAACGCAUUGGCUCAAACCAGAAAGUUGAAAAGCAGAUCCCUUUAGGUAUAGCUGUAUCCAGGGAUCAGAUUGUGUCUUCAGAUUUUGAUCGUGCUGUCUCUCAGUUCUGCUUCCCUCUGUUCUGGCUUGAUUCUUAGACUGGUGUUCACUCACUGGUCUGAGCAGCUCCGCACUUCCCUUACCCUGUAGCUCGCAAUCCCAGAAGAAAGAGAGGUUUCCUUCCCCAGUAGAUGUAACAGAAGUUCUGGAAUUGACUUUUUGGCCUGCCUUAGGUCACAUGCCCAUCUCUGGGCUAAGCACUCUGGCUCCAGGUUGGAGGGCAAGGUGGAUGGAAGGUGCUGAUUGGUCAGGCUUGGGUUACAAACCAUCCCUGGAGCAUUUGGAGGGGCCCUCAGGUUAGUCUCCCAGACCACAUGGAUCGUGGAAGGAUGAUUCUCCCAAGGAAAAUUGUGGUGCCAUUCUAGAAGAGGAGGGAUCUGGAGGCUGGGCAGACCAAAAAAAAAAAAAAAAAAA